ACACUGAAGUACAUGGUGGGAAAUAAUGUGAGAAUCAUUAACUGUUCGUGCAACGGUAUUUUUUAUUUAAAUAAAAAAAAGUCUGAGCGCCACCCAGUGUAGUCCGCUGUUGAAUGAAGGCCAGGAAAUGUCUAGUUCUACUAAUAAUAU
rnacentral:ncRNA from 10 species